rnacentral:rRNA from 1 species
UGCCAGCAGCCGCGGUAAUACAGAGGGUGCAAGCGUUAAUCGGAAUUACUGGGCGUAAAGCGCUCGUAGGCGGAUUAUUAAGUCAAAUGUGAAAUCCCUGGGCUCAACCUAGGAACUGCAUUCGAAACUGGUAGUCUAGAGUAUGGUAGAGGAAAGUGGAAUUCCCGGUGUAGCGGUGAAAUGCGUAGAUAUCGGGAGGAACAUCAGUGGCGAAGGCGACUUUCUGGCUAUUUUCUGACGCUGAGGAGCGAAAGCGUGGGGAGCAAACAGGAUUAGAUA